GGGUCGUUAGCUCAGCUGGUAGAGCAGCGGACUCUUAAUCCGUUGGUCGUAGGUUCGACCCCUACACGGCCUACCA
rnacentral:tRNA from 1 species